rnacentral:rRNA from 1 species
UUGAAGCCUUCGGGUGGAAGCGAGUAUUGCUUAGUGGCGAACGGGUGAGUAACACGUGAAUAACCUACCCUGGAGUGGGGGACAACAUUUGGAAACAGAUGCUAAUACCGCAUAAGACCACGGAGCCGCAUGGCUCUGAGGCCAAAGGAGCAAUUCGCUCUGGGAUGGAUUCGCGCCUGAUUAACUAGAUGGUGGGGUAAUGGCCUACCAUGGUGACGAUCAGUAGCCGGACUGAGAGGUUGGACGGCCACAUUGGGACUGAGACACGGCCCAGACUCCUACGGGAGGCAGCAGUGGGGAAUAUUGCACAAUGGACGAAAGUCUGAUGCAGCGACGCCGCGUGAGGGAAGAAGGUUUUCGAAUUGUAAACCUCUGUCUUCGGGGACGAUAAUGACGGUACCCGAGGAGGAAGCCACGGCUAACUACGUGCCAGCAGCCGCGGUAAAACGUAGGUGGCAAGCGUUGUCCGGAAUUACUGGGUGUAAAGGGAGCGCAGGCGGAAUGGCAAGUUGAAUGUGAAAACUAUGGGCUUAACCCAUAGACUGCGUUCAAAACUGCUGUUCUUGAGUGAUGUAGAGGUAGGCGGAAUUCCCGGUGUAGCGGUGGAAUGCGUAGAUAUCGGGAGGAACACCAGUGGCGAAGGCGGCCUACUGGGCAUCAACUGACGCUGAGGCUCGAAAGUAUGGGGAGCAAACAGGAUUAGAUACCCUGGUAGUCCAUACUGU